rnacentral:rRNA from 1 species
GACGUAGGGGGCCAGCGUUGCUCGGAAUUACUGGGUGUAAAGGGUUCGUAGGCGGUGCGGCAAGUUGGGAGUGAAAUCUCUGGGCUUAACCCAGAGGCUGCUUCCAAAACUGCUGUGCUCGAGUGUGGGAGAGGCGCGUGGAAUUGCAGGUGUAGCGGUGAAAUGCGUAGAUAUCUGCAGGAACACCCGUGGCGAAAGCGGCGCGCUGGACCACUACUGACGCUGAGGAACGAAAGCUAGGGGAGCAAACAGG